rnacentral:tRNA from 1 species
AAAAAAGUAAGCUAAUUAAGCUAUUGGGUUCAUACCCCAAAUAUAAAGGUUAAAUCCUUUCUUUUUUA